UACGUGGGGUGCGAGCGUUAAUCGGAAUUACUGGGCGUAAAGGGCUCGUAGGCGGCCAACUAAGUCCGACGUGAAAUCCCAAAGCUUAACUUUGGAACUGCGUCGGAUACUGGAUGGCUUGAAUUCGGGAGAGGGAUGCAGAAUUCCAGGUGUAGCGGUGAAAUGCGUAGAUAUCUGGAGGAACACCGGUGGCGGAGGCGGCAUCCUGGACCAACACUGACGCUGAGUGAGCGAAAGCCAGGGGAGCAAACGGG
rnacentral:rRNA from 1 species